GGGUUGUGAGGUUAAGCGACUAAGCGUACACGGUGGAUGCCCUGGCAGUCAGAGGCGAUGAAGGACGUGCUAAUCUGCGAAAAGCGUCGGUAAGGUGAUAUGAACCGUUAUAACCGGCGAUGUCCGAAUGGGGAAACCCAGUGUGAUUCGUCACACUAUCGUUAACUGAAUACAUAGGUUAACGAGGCGAACCGGGGGAACUGAAACAUCUAAGUACCCCGAGGAAAAGAAAUCAACCGAGAUUCCCCCAGUAGCGGCGAGCGAACGGGGAGCAGCCCAGAGUCUGAAUCAGCUUGUGUGUUAGUGGAACGGUCUGGAAAGUCCGACGGUACAGGGUGAUAGUCCCGUACACCAAAAUGCACAGGCUGUGAACUCGAAGAGUAGGGCGGGACACGUGGUAUCCUGUCUGAAUAUGGGGGGACCAUCCUCCAAGGCUAAAUACUCCUGACUGACCGAUAGUGAACCAGUACCGUGAGGGAAAGGCGAAAAGAACCCCGGCGAGGGGAGUGAAAAAGAACCUGAAACCGUGUACGUACAAGCAGUGGGAGCACCUUCGGGUGUGACUGCGUACCUUUUGUAUAAUGGGUCAGCGACUUAUAUUCUGUAGCAAGGUUAACCGUAUAGGGGAGCCGCAGGGAAACCGAGUCUUAACUGGGCGUUAAGUUGCAGGGUAUAGACCCGAAACCCGGUGAUCUAGCCAUGGGCAGGUUGAAGGUUGGGUAACACUAACUGGAGGACCGAACCGACUAAUGUUGAAAAAUUAGCGGAUGACUUGUGGCUGGGGGUGAAAGGCCAAUCAAACCGGGAGAUAGCUGGUUCUCCCCGAAAGCUAUUUAGGUAGCGCCUCGUGAACUCAUCUUCGGGGGUAGAGCACUGUUUCGGCUAGGGGGUCAUCCCGACUUACCAACCCGAUGCAAACUACGAAUACCGAAGAAUGUUAUCACGGGAGACACACGGCGGGUGCUAACGUCCGUCGUGAAGAGGGAAACAACCCAGACCGCCAGCUAAGGUCCCAAAGUCAUGGUUAAGUGGGAAACGAUGUGGGAAGGCACAGACAGCCAGGAUGUUGGCUUAGAAGCAGCCAUCAUUUAAAGAAAGCGUAAUAGCUCACUGGUCGAGUCGGCCUGCGCGGAAGAUGUAACGGGGCUAAACCAUGCACCGAAGCUGCGGCAGCGACACUAUGUGUUGUUGGGUAGGGGAGCGUUCUGUAAGCCUGCGAAGGUGUGCUGUGAGGCAUGCUGGAGGUAUCAGAAGUGCGAAUGCUGACAUAAGUAACGAUAAAGCGGGUGAAAAGCCCGCUCGCCGGAAGACCAAGGGUUCCUGUCCAACGUUAAUCGGGGCAGGGUGAGUCGACCCCUAAGGCGAGGCCGAAAGGCGUAGUCGAUGGGAAACAGGUUAAUAUUCCUGUACUUGGUGUUACUGCGAAGGGGGGACGGAGAAGGCUAUGUUAGCCGGGCGACGGUUGUCCCGGUUUAAGCAUGUAGGCUGGUUGUCCAGGCAAAUCCGGAUAAUCAAGGCUGAGGUGUGAUGACGAGGCACUACGGUGCUGAAGUAACAAAUGCCCUGCUUCCAGGAAAAGCCUCUAAGCAUCAGGUAACAUCAAAUCGUACCCCAAACCGACACAGGUGGUCAGGUAGAGAAUACCAAGGCGCUUGAGAGAACUCGGGUGAAGGAACUAGGCAAAAUGGUGCCGUAACUUCGGGAGAAGGCACGCUGGUGUGUAGGUGAAGCCCCUGCGGGUGGAGCUGAGACCAGUCGAAGAUACCAGCUGGCUGCAACUGUUUAUUAAAAACACAGCACUGUGCAAACACGAAAGUGGACGUAUACGGUGUGACGCCUGCCCGGUGCCGGAAGGUUAAUUGAUGGGGUUAUCCGUAAGGAGAAGCUCUUGAUCGAAGCCCCGGUAAACGGCGGCCGUAACUAUAACGGUCCUAAGGUAGCGAAAUUCCUUGUCGGGUAAGUUCCGACCUGCACGAAUGGCGUAAUGAUGGCCAGGCUGUCUCCACCCGAGACUCAGUGAAAUUGAACUCGCUGUGAAGAUGCAGUGUACCCGCGGCAAGACGGAAAGACCCCGUGAACCUUUACUAUAGCUUGACACUGAACAUUGAGCCUUGAUGUGUAGGAUAGGUGGGAGGCUUUGAAGCGUGGACGCCAGUCUGCGUGGAGCCAACCUUGAAAUACCACCCUUUAAUGUUUGAUGUUCUAACGUUGGCCCCUUACCGGGGUUGCGGACAGUGUCUGGUGGGUAGUUUGACUGGGGCGGUCUCCUCCCAAAGCGUAACGGAGGAGCACGAAGGUUAGCUAAUCCUGGUCGGACAUCAGGAGGUUAGUGCAAUGGCAUAAGCUAGCUUGACUGCGAGCGUGACGGCGCGAGCAGGUGCGAAAGCAGGUCAUAGUGAUCCGGUGGUUCUGAAUGGAAGGGCCAUCGCUCAACGGAUAAAAGGUACUCCGGGGAUAACAGGCUGAUACCGCCCAAGAGUUCAUAUCGACGGCGGUGUUUGGCACCUCGAUGUCGGCUCAUCACAUCCUGGGGCUGAAGUAGGUCCCAAGGGUAUGGCUGUUCGCCAUUUAAAGUGGUACGCGAGCUGGGUUUAGAACGUCGUGAGACAGUUCGGUCCCUAUCUGCCGUGGGCGCUGGAGAAUUGAGGGGGGCUGCUCCUAGUACGAGAGGACCGGAGUGGACGCAUCACUGGUGUUCGGGUUGUCAUGCCAAUGGCACUGCCCGGUAGCUAAAUGCGGAAGAGAUAAGUGCUGAAAGCAUCUAAGCACGAAACUUGCCCCGAGAUGAGUUCUCCCUGAGACUUUAAGUCUCCUGAAGGAACGUUAAAGACGAUGACGUUGAUAGGCCGGGUGUGUAAGCGCAGCGAUGCGUUGAGCUAACCGGUACUAAUGAACCGUGAGGCUUAACCUUACAACGCCGAAG
rnacentral:rRNA from 2 species